rnacentral:misc_RNA from 1 species
GUAAUUGUGAGGGAGGAGGACGAGCGGAGGAUGGCUAGUUGGUCGCGGGCGCCAUUGCCUGAAAGCCCCUCGAGAGUGCAUCGGGUUCAGGAGUUCUCGCCUCUGCGACCGGAUCCAGUUCCCCAGUUCUCGCCUCCCCGUCAAGUGAUGGCUCCUGUUGAGGUACCUGAGCGGACUCCAGAUCAUGUCUCAAUGCUGCAACAGCAGCAGCCGCAGAAGCCUGUGAUGGGAAGGUUGCCAAAGCCGAAAGCGAGGGAUUUGGAGAAGAGGGUGAUGAGCAUUGAGGAGAAGGAGAGGCUGAGUGAGGGCCUGCAGAGCUUGCCACAGGAGAAGAUGGAGCAGGUGCUACAAAUUGUGAAGAAGAGGAGCGGCGAGCUCGUGCAGGAUGGGGAUGAGAUUGAGCUUGAU